UCAUUCUUCAUGGUCGGCUAAGACAAGAACAAAGAGAAAAAAGAAGAGAACAAACCCUAGUGAGCAAAAAUUCAAGGGAAAAUUGGUGGAUUUCAAGGAAUUAAGCAAGUAAAGGUAAAAUUUCUUGAUUUUAGCUUGUGAUCUACCUUUCCUAUGCAUUCUUUUUCAUUUUCCAUGGUUGAGAAUCAAGUUUGCAUGAAGAUACCUUUGCUGGCCAGACAUGGGGGGAGGGGUUUUGAUCUUGCAUUUAGCUAGAUUUCAUGUUAUUCUAGUGUUUUUAGUUGUUUGGUGAUGUUUAGCAUGGAAAACAAGCAAGAAAUUUCAUGCCCUUCACCCACACCCAUUAGCUGAAUUUUUCAAGAGAGAAAUUGGAAAAUGGACUUUGAUGACUUUCGUGCUAUUUAGGUAUUUUUAGUUGUUUUAUGAUGUAAAGUGUAAAAAUCAAGCAUGAAAAACCACAUAUUAUUCAUGAACCCUCCAUGGCCAAAUUUUUCCAAGAGAAAAUGUUGAGGAUGAUUUUGCUAUAAUUCAUGUUAUGUAGCUUAUAUUUGAUGAUUUGGAGUAUUGGAAGUGAAAUGAAUUUAUUUGGAGUUGAAUUGGAUAUUUUGGCCAAUUAACCGGCGUAUAGUGUGAAUUAGGUCAAUACCAUUUCAGCCCCAUACACAAUUGAACCUACGUAGAACACCGUAUUUAGAUAAUAAUCCGAACAUUUCACAUCCCAUUUCAUGCAUUCAUAUAGAGCCUAAAUUAGUUUUAUAACGGUUUAGCACAAAUAUAGUAAAUUGCUUGUUGUGCAUUAUGUCUAGGUGGUGAAACUUUCGAUAAGGGUAAGGAGAUUGUACCCGAAGACCAGGAUUAAAAGUACCUCGAUUCUCGAUAUUGUGAGUAUCCUUAUUAUCGUCUUAAUUAUCUAAAUUAGGUUUUAUUCGUUUUUGUGAUUUUAUAGAAAAAUGAGUUUAAAUGGUAAAUCCUUAUGUUUUAUAAGUAAAAUGUGAUUAAAUGAAAUGAGUUUUAUAAAUCAUUUUGAAAUUGAAUGAUGAUUUUAGAAAUUGAGUAAUUGGAGACUAUUUGAUUUUGUUGUAAAUUUAUGGUUUGAAUUGAAUGGCUUAUGGUAAUAUUGGCAUGAAUGGUUGCAUUGGAAAUUGUGUUGAAAUUUUAUGAACUGUUGUUUUACCUUAACAGGCUGGGUAGUAAUAUAAUUGCCAUGUCAUGCUGUCAAAAAUUUUAUUGAUUUGGUGGGAUAUUGAUUAGUCACUGCAGUGGCAGGUUUUCGUGGACUAGCCUAUUAGAGAGGGGCACGGUAAACUCGGUUAUAUUUUUCCUCAACAUGAGAGGUGCGGAGGGUAUCUCCUGAGGUAAAGCUUUAGAGUUCACUACACGCUAAACCACCACGCGAGGGUGAACUCAGCCAAUGCCAAGGAAUGGCUAUGUUUUAAAACGUACAAAUAUGAUUUAUUGAUAUAUGUCUUUUCUUUAACAGCCUUG
rnacentral:lncRNA from 1 species